GCUGCUGUACUGUUAAGUGCAUAAUCUUUCAUAAACAUCAUUUUAAUAUGUAUUAAUCAUGGAUAAGAAGCUUCAGGCAGGAUAUGGAAGAGAAAUAUAAACCAAGUAUAAUUUAAUCUGAAACUCAAAGAUACACACAGAAAUAGAGAUGCAUAUUAGAAGGAUACUGCCCAUUUUGCCACAGAAUAAUUGAAGAGAGCAUAA
rnacentral:misc_RNA from 1 species